GGAAUCCGAGGGGCUGCAGGAGACCCUUACAGAAUGAUUUAAGUGAUUCUAAAUCAGACGAGGCUUUGGACAACCGCUGUGAAGUCCGUGAAAGCCGAGCAGACAGGAUGCCCCUCCUCCUGACAACGAGGCCUCCCUCGUGAGCUUGUGCCAGAGAAGAGGGAGCAUUCGCGCCAGGCCUUCACACACAGGAACACCAGCGUCACUGCCACUUACACUUCCGUCCGUGUCACCUGGAGAGGUGGUGGCGAGUCGCUCUCUGAGCACGUGGGUGUGGAGACGCCGGGGAAGCAUGGGGUGGAUCCUGGGAGCAGAAGAAUGAGAGGCAGUGUGACCCGAGGCUCAUGAGCAGACUGUGGCAGGUGUUGAAGAGAGGGGCUGAGGGACUGAAGCGGCAGAGGCACAACCCUGAAGAGCAAUUUUGGCAUGGGGACAAGCUGCUGGGAAUCGACCUCUCACAGCUCUGCUGUCCCAGGUUGUAGCUGGCUGUUGGUCUAGUGAUGUUUUUGGGGUCUCCAGAGCAACCUGUGACCUGAAGCCAACUCUGAAAGAGGAGGAGUGGGUCAAAGACAUAGAGAUCAAAGAUUAGACAGGACAGGGUGCUUAGAGUGCUAGAUUUGGAAUUUUAAAAAAGGAAAGUGAAGAAUUAAUUUUACUCAGAGAAGUCUGGCCUGGGUCUUUAGCUGCUGGGAGAUGGUGUCUCGCCUGGGGAUGUCCUGCCUGGCGGGAAGAUCUGUUUGCCUGAGGAGCCUGGCCAGCAGGUGGCUGAGCAGUGUGAUUCAUAAUGGGGCUUUGCACCUGGCCGCAUCAGUCCCCACGGAAGGGAGACGAAAGGGCAUCCUUGGCACGGAAUCCUGGGGUGAGCAUCCUGGUAAGCAGGAUGCUUCAGCUUUGCCUCCCCAAGAGACUGGGAGGAAGAGAUGACAGGAGAAGACAGAAGCUUUGUGUUCGGGCCCUUUUCAGAGUUUGCCCUGUGUGUUCUUUUGGCAGCUUCUGAUUUGUAUCCUUUUGCUAUAAUA